UAACUCAUGAAGGCCUUAUUAGAGCUGGCUCAGCCUAUCUUGCACGUAUUGAAGCUCUCACGGUUAAGUUUGGCUAGAAUUAGUUAGCAGAAUCGGGCUGGUGUUCUCGUGCCUCGGAAGCUGGAGGAAGGGCUGCCAGAGAAGCUGCAAGCUUUGCAGUUAAUAAGAUAGGAGUUCCAAAUGUGGUCAUCCUUAGCUACAACAGAAGUGUAUUUGAUUUCUUGCUAAAGACUUACUGGUGUAGAUUGGGGUACCAAAUGUAAAAGACUUAUCUGACAGUUUUAACUGUACUAAUAAGCAAGCCAAUUCUCUUCCCAAACAUCUUAGAUAUUCAGAUUUAACUCUGAAAACAUGCGCAUCAAUGGAUAAGAGAAUUGGCGUGUUAAACUUGACUGUAAUGUGCAAACUGUUCCUUCAGCAAGAUAACCUAAUAUAUACAUAUAUGUUUAGCAUUGAAUUAGAGCCAAACAUUGUUGUAUUUCAA